rnacentral:lncRNA from 13 species
UCUUUUCUGUGUUUUUCUUGUGAUAGUGAAUAAGUCUCACGAGAUCUGAUGGUUUUAUACAUGGGAGUUCCCCUGCACAGGCUCUCUUGCCUGCCUCCAAGUAAGAUACACCUUCGCUCCUCUUUCACCUUCUGCCAUGAUUGUGAUGCCUCCCCAGCCAUAUGUAACUAAUACUUUUGGAGAGAAAGUGGAGCAAGAUGACCAAACAGAACACUCCACUGAUCGUCCUCCCUAAAGAACACCAAAUUAAACAACUAUGCACCCAAGAAAAAGGACCUUCAUAAGAAACAAAAAUUAGGUGAGUAAUCACAGUACCUGGUAUUAUUAACUUGAUAUUACUAAAAGAGGCACUAAAGAGGGCAGGAAAGACAGUCUUGAAUUG